CCUACGGGUGGCAGCAGUGAGGAAUAUUGGUCAAUGGACGUGAGUCUGAACCAGCCAAGUAGCGUGAAGGAUGAAUGCUCUAUGGGUUGUAAACUUCUUUUAUAUGGGAAUAAAAUGUUCCACGUGUGGGGUUUUGUAUGUACCAUAUGAAUAAGGAUCGGCUAACUCCGUGCCAGCAGCCGCGGUAAUACGGAGGAUCCGAGCGUUAUCCGGAUUUAUUGGGUUUAAAGGGUGCGUAGGUGGAUUGUUAAGUCAGUUGUGAAAGUUUGCGGCUCAACCGUAAAAUUGCAGUUGAAACUGGGAGUCUUGAGUACAGUAGAGGCGGGCGGAAUGCGUGGUGUAGCGGUGAAAUGCUUAGAUAUCACGAAGAACCCCGAUUGCGAAGGCAGCUCAC
rnacentral:rRNA from 1 species